UCUUUACCAGUUUUUUAGAUAUGGUUUUUGAGUCAAUUUAAUUUAUGUUCUUUCUUAAAUUCUUACUUAUGAGCACUGCAGUGCUUAAUUGGUGUAGAGAGGUUGUAGCUGUUUGAUUCCUAGUUAUUAACGAGCCGAGCUGAGCUUCUUAGUGUUCGAGCUCGUAAAUGAGCCUAAAACUCGAGCUAGAGCCAAGCCGAGCCCUUUACAAGCUAAGUCUGGCCAACUUACUUAACGAGCUUCUUUUACUGAGUCGAGCCUAUACAAACGAGCUGAGUUUUUGGGUGUCAAGCGUAAAACACAAGCUCGAGCUUGGCUCAAUUACUAAAUGAGUCAAGCAGAGCACAGCUCUCGGUUCGUUUGCAGCCCUAGUUAUUACUGUUUAUGUUCUAGUACUUUUCCAUGGACUUACUGUACUCCCAAACUGCAAGAGUUGUUACUCUUUUCUUGUUUGGAGCCAUGUUUUGGCUCAAACCUUCUUGUCGACAUGCGAGUACUAGGUAAAUAAUGCAUUGACUCUGUGUGUAUCCAGAAGUGUGUGGUAGGCUUAUUGAUAACGUAUGUUACCGGGACUGGGUGUGGGUAUCUGGUGCGGGUGUGUGUCAAAGUGUCCAACUCAUUCAAUUUCCAUCUCAAGGACUCAGGGAUACGCCAAAACUUUCGAAUUUCUGACAAUUUCUUAGCGUAGUUCUUUUAUUUUCUUGGGUAAAUGGGGUUUAGAAAGUGCUUUAGGGCAUUUCAUUCAAAUUACAGGAGUUCGAUGUGUAGUUAUGGUAAGUUCAAAUUAUGAAAUACAUUUUCUAGGACUAUGUCCAACUAAAUGUGUCGAACGCGAAUCUCAUACCCUCAUCCGAGUGUCGAGUGUCUCACACGUUUAUACAUUUUGGUGGAUUGAUCUAACAUAGAUGAUAACAAUGGAAGAUUGGUCGAGUCUCUUAUCUAAUGUGUGAAGUGUGAAGUGAUCGUAGUCACACUUUGCCAGUGGUUUUCGUCUAAGUUGUAGUGUUUAAAUAUUGCAAUGUAAAAAUACAAAAGUACACAAGAAGUUUUGGGAUAGCCCCCUCCCCUGCUGUAGAAAGGUGAAGAGGAACACAAUUAUUGAACCUAUGCGUUUCUACUACUGUUGUAAAUUCUGGGGUUUGUGGUUAUAUACUACUUCUCAAUUAGCUGAUCGUUUUAUGAAGUCGUGAAGGAAGUCAUGGAGUUAAAGUUUAAGAGUUAAGGUAAUGAUUGCUUUAGAUAUGAGUUGGUUUGUAGCACAUAGGACUACCCUGCAGUUGACAUACGAUUCAUAACCCAACAAGGAGGUAGAUUGACUAACAUUUCAUUUUCAAGAAACCUAUAGAUCGGGUAAAUGACCAGAUGUCGUAGUUUUUCAUUAUCCAUGUGCUCAAGGUAGGAGAAAGAAUUUGGAUAGUUGAACAUAAUGAAGAAAGUAAACACCAGCUUGUUUAUUUUUCUUACGUUGCUCUGGGUAAUACUUUUAAUAUGUCCAACCAGUUACUACAUACUACAGGUUUAUUUGAUACAUGUACUAGUUUGUAAGGUUUUCACACAAACUUUGGUCAGAAUUAGGCCAAUAUCAAUGUGCUAGAAUCUUGUGCUAGUCUGGCUUCUUUAUGCGAACCAUAUGGCAGCGUAUGCAUAAAUCUAAAUGAAUUAGUUGCAUAUUAGGACCUGGAGUUCCAGAUUUUUUUUUAUUUGGAAUUUUGCUGUUAAACUUAAGCUUACAAAACUGCACAUUGUGUACAAGUAUCUGCACUCUCAACAUGACGUGGAAAUCAUAUGCGUCCAAGAACUAGUGAUAAUUGACGUAAGAGUAAGACUAGGAGUGCAAAGAUGUUAUUGUUGGCUUAGGCAUUAUGUUACUUUGUUUGGUUUCUUUUUUAAGUGUUUUGAAUGUUUGCUGCUAGUGUGGACUAAAACACAUUGUGGAAGUUGAAUUUUUUUAGUUAUUUCCUUGAUUACAUUGAAUGGUAAAUGAUAAUUCUUUAUGUAAGAUCGGAUUUUUUGAGUUUUAGCACAUUUUUCUUCCCACCUAUUUAUUAAUAAGCUACUAAUGUUGCGGGUAUCGUGCGGUUCGGACCGUUCGGUUAGAAACCAGACACCAUAUGGUUUGGUUAUGGUGCACCAAAAACCAUACCCGUCGAGCAUGAGUGUUGGGUUUGUGUGCAACUAACCACUUCAGGUUUUUGUAUCGAGACGCCAAAUCUGAACAAAACCUACCCAUUGCCAUCCUUGUGAAGAACAGUUAUGCAUAUAUAGUUUUGCCCCUAUGAUUUAAACCCCCGGGGGCUUCGGUAUUAUUGUGUUCGUGUGUUUAUUGAGCUUUCAUGGCAACAGGGUGGGAUGGGGAGGGUUUUUCAAUGCCCUGACCCCGACCUGAAAAGUACCUCAUGGCCCCGAACCCCGAUGGGUAAUUCUUGGGUGCUCCCAACCCGCCCCAGUUGGGGACAAACCACUGGACCGAGAGAAGUUAUAGUGAUGGUAGAAAGCUGUUUGGUUAUGUGCUCAAGAACAUAGGUGCCUGCAAACAGCUUUAUACCAUCACCAGAAUUCCUCUCCGUCCCAAUGGUUUGUCUAUUCUCUCUCCUUGCAAAAAAAAAAUUAAUAAUAAUUUUUAUGGGAACUGGGGGUGGCCCGUGCCAUCUUCCCCCCUCGAGAAGCUCAACCCUUGGCCUGGAUAUUCUUUAUUUGGAAUUUUGCUGUUAAACUUGAGCUUACAAAACUGCACUUUGUGUACGAGUACCUCCACUCACAACAUGAGGUGGAAA